GAGGUUACAGCUCAGGGGUAGAGCGCGUGCUUAGCAUGCACGAGGUCCUGGGUUCAAUCCCCAGUCCCCCCC
rnacentral:tRNA from 1 species